ACAACAAUAAUGUCAAUGUGUCGCUCCCUUCGCCGGCAUCGGAUGCUGCGGGAAAACUGGCAUCGCCAUUUAAAGACGGUGGACGCCGGGGAACGAUGAUCCCUGUCACGGGACUGGGGGGAGCUCUCGGAUUGAUGGCACGACCACGAAAAUGUUUGACAAAGAUUUCACAAUCGCUGCCACGAAUUCACCCACGCUGUCGUGUGUAGCGUCCGUAUUUACUUCCGUAAACACAGCGUCCUGCGCGUGACGUCACGUCGUCUUCCAGCGCAUGCGGGUCUCUUCAAAGCUAUUGGGGUUGUAUUUAAAAUGAAAAUGUGAAUAAUUAUAAAGAAUACUUUACGAUAAUAGCUAUAACUGUCAAUAGUGCUCUGUCUCUUUUUUAUUUUUUUAUAUUAAAUGGCUGUCUACGGGGCUGUUAUUUUGUUCGGUUUAAGUUCGGUUUAUGUAUAUUACCCGUUUGAAUGCAAUAAAAUGUGUGACAAACCUUUAUAAACGCAAAAUAAUUUAUUUAUUAUAAACUUAUAAAUGGAUUAAAUGACAUGACGAAUGAAGUAACUUUAAAUUGAGACAUUCAAUGUGAACGUUUGUGCAAAAUGGUGACGCUAAAAAUGUACCUACAAGUAAUUAGCUGACCAGAUAGUUAGCAUCAAGCAGCGGAACAGUUGUUUGUUUAAAAUAAAUAUAAUUAACAAUACGUGUAUUUUUAGAAACAGAUUUGACUGUAUGUCAGGAGCUGUAUAACACGCAAUCUGGUUCUAUCUUUGCAGCAUGAAUGCAAAAGAAUACGAGUUUAAUUGAUUUGUAGUGUCGAAUGAAAGGACAAAAUGACCAGAAGAUGGCAGUCGUGUACCAAAUAUGAACCGAAUGUAUAAAAAACCGUAAAAAACCAGUCGAUUUAAACAGUCUUCCCCACACGCUGACGCUCCCUUCGAUCGCUCCUCUCUGGACAACAUUGGGCACUCGCACUGCAUCCUCUUGAUGUCUCGGUUUUCCUCAAUCAGGUCAAAGUACGGAGGCAUCUUUUUGGAUUUGGCCUGAUCUUUCCAUCUGAGGGCAUCCUGAAAGUCUUGCAGAGUGAGUGACGGACGGAAAACCUCGGCUUUGACAGCGGGUUCCCGAGUGGU